GAUGAACGCUGGCGGCGUGCCUAAUACAUGCAAGUCGAGCGAACAGACGAGGAGCUUGCUCCUCUGACGUUAGCGGCGGACGGGUGAGUAACACGUGGAUAACCUACCUAUAAGACUGGGAUAACUUCGGGAAACCGGAGCUAAUACCGGAUAAUAUAUUGAACCGCAUGGUUCAAUAGUGAAAGACGGUUUUGCUGUCACUUAUAGAUGGAUCCGCGCCGCAUUAGCUAGUUGGUAAGGUAACGGCUUACCAAGGCAACGAUGCGUAGCCGACCUGAGAGGGUGAUCGGCCACACUGGAACUGAGACACGGUCCAGACUCCUACGGGAGGCAGCAGUAGGGAAUCUUCCGACAGGGGCGAAAGCCUGACGGAGCAACGCCGCGUGAGUGAUGAAGGUCUUCGGAUCGUAAAACUCUGUUAUUAGGGAAGAACAAAUGUGUAAGUAACUAUGCACGUCUUGACGGUACCUAAUCAGAAAGCCACGGCUAACUACG
rnacentral:rRNA from 1 species